UCUGUCUGAGCUCUAUUGCAGUUUGCCACGUAAUCUCCCGAGUUCAGACCACAUGCCGCGUUCAUUUGCUAGUCAGAACAAGGAAACUUCAGACUUGCUAACUGGUUGUAGUUGCUGUAUACACGUGUCGCGUUUCAGCACUUAUAGCAAGUCGGAAAUGUCCGAGUUUCCUAGUCCCGAGUAGUAAGUGAACGCGGCAAUAGACAUAGGUACAAGGGGCAGUCUGCGGAGUGAGUAGCAGAGCAACAGCAGCCUGGUGAAACUGGACGUGGUUACACGGGCAAAACAGAAGCGCAUAACGUUACAAAUUCAAGGUGGAUGUUAUUUUCCUUUGUUUUGUGAAAACCAAACAUUGAAACGUGGAUAUUGUUAAUUGAAGGAGGUGCGUGGUGUUGGCAAGCAAGUGGACCUCCACCCGACUGCACCUCCAGAACUGUAGAGGCAGUCACUGCACCUGCAGGAUUUGUCUGAUAGAUUUGGCUGAGCCUAGCUGAGUGCUGCAGUGUGUCCACCCAGGGAGGGAACCACCAUGAGGCAGCUGAAGGGGAAGCCCAAGAAGGAGACGUCCAGGGACAAGAAGGAACGUAAGGCGGCCAUGCAGGAGGCCCGGUCGCAGGUGGCCACAGUGGUUCUACCCACGUUGGCUGUGGUGGUGCUGCUCAUCGUAGUCUUUGUCUACGUGGCCUCCAUGCCCAGAGCCAUAGAGUAGUGACCAGUUCCACACCCCUCACCUUGGCCCUAACCCCUCAAUUUUAGUAUGUCUGUAGGUUUUUAAUUGGUAUAAGCAGUGUCAGGGUUCUCCAAAGUUCUCCAACAUUCCUGGAGAGCUACCAUCCUUUAGGUCUUCACUCCGACCCUGUUCCUGGAGAGCUACCAUCCUGUAGGUCUUCACUCCGACCCUGUUCCUGGAGAACCUAAACCUACAGAAUGGUAGCUCUCCAGGAACAGCGUUGGAGAGCCCUGAGCAGUGUAGUUGUAAUUCCACCAUAGGAGCAAUAUCUAAUAGUUCUGGGCCAAGGGGAAGGGUAGGGACCGGCUCUAAGAUGACUGGGCCCCAAUGGGGAUGCAUGCCCCUGCCCUGCCACCAUGGACUGGGUCCCAAUUUACUCAGAGACUUGCUGCACCCAAAGGAUGACCCCAAACCACCCCUCCCCCUGACUGCCAGCUUAACAUGCAUAUAGACAUUUUCUGGUCACUCAUCCCAUCCUCACCCCAUUCCACCUUUUCGCUCUCAUCCCUCUUUCUCUCAUAUCGAUCUGUCUGUGUGGUCCUCGGGGACCUGCCAUUUGUCUUAAUUGAUGCGUCCUCCCAAGUGCAGUUUUGCCUCGAGAAUUGAGCUGCAAAACAAUCAGAUUUACUGAGGUAUUACGGUAGUGGCUUCAUAGGUGCCUUUUGAUGGCUGAAGAUGUGUGGCAACUUAUGCAGCCAUGUUGGCUCAAGGGCGGAACUUAUAUCCAUUACAUCAGUGUUUGCCAACCCUGGUCUUCGAGUACCUCCAACAGUAUACCUUUUUAUUGAAACCCUGGACAAACACACCUGACUCAACUGAUCAUCAAGCCUCAAUGAGCUGAAUGAGGUGGGUUGCUGUUGGGGGUACUGGAGGACCAGGGUUGGGAAACACUGCAUUACAUGUCUAUCAAUUGCUCUGUAACAACAGUAGGAUUCAUUUUUGUUCUGGUGCUCUCUUAGUUUCAAUUUCCUGUUUACAAAAGGACUUUUAGGGCAUAGCUUGCCAAGUUUGACCUGGGGAUGUUUUAAUCAGGUGACAGGUUGAGGAAGUGUGACUUAAUGAAUCUACUGGCAUUGUUGAGCAAUGUGUUUUAAGAUUAAAGUCACAUGACAAAGGCCAGCAGUCCAAGCUAUGUCUGUAGAAUGUAUACAUCCACAAAUGUGUGAUUUUUUUGAAGAAAAAGAAACGUAUUUUAACAUGCCAGCAAUUGGUCCUGUCUGUUCGAAUAGUUGAAUGCAACUCAGGAUUUUGUCCUGAUUGAAUGUGGUGUUUGUACUGGACAGAUUGUGAAUAUGUCACAGGAGAACAUGACACUGUAUUCCAUGUACAAUCCCAGCGCUACACACUUUGUACUUUUUUUAAGCUACUGACAACUUUGACUUUUGAGUUGCUCGGUAUGACAUCUGUGCAGGAAAAUAUGUGCCUUAUGUUUGACAAUGAGCCUUUUCAGUUAAUAAAGAACUGAAAGACUU